rnacentral:rRNA from 1 species
UGGGGAAUUUUGGACAAUGGGCGAAAGCCUGAUCCAGCAAUGCCGCGUGUGUGAAGAAGGCCUUCGGGUUGUAAAGCACUUUUGUCCGGAAAGAAAUCCUUGUCUCUAAUACAGUCGGGGGAUGACGGUACCGGAAGAAUAAGCACCGGCUAACUACGUGCCAGCAGCCGCGGUAAUACGUAGGGUGCAAGCGUUAAUCGGAAUUACUGGGCGUAAAGCGUGCGCAGGCGGUUUGCUAAGACCGAUGUGAAAUCCCCGGGCUCAACCUGGGAACUGCAUUGGUGACUGGCAGGCUAGAGUAUGGCAGAGGGGGGUAGAAUUCCACGUGUAGCAGUGAAAUGCGUAGAGAUGUGGAGGAAUACCGAUGGCG